ensembl:lncRNA
AUGCAUAGGUCUGGGAGUCAAAGUUGUUGUCUGACUCUACAGCUUGACUACAGCAGAAUUUCUAACCCUCCAAAUUCCUCCUGGGCUGACAAAUGUCAACAAAGACCCAGAGAAACACCAAAGAGAGUGCACUGUCAACAGACGGCGGAGGAGGAGGACGGGCGGGGAUUCGUACUCAUCGGCCGCAGCGAUUGGGCGCGAGACUGGCCUCCUCUUCGCCAUUGGCUGCUCGCGGUGUCUCUCCGCAUCUGUUGUCGCCGCUUCCCGCGCCAUUCAGCGUGCACGCGCCAGGCAAGGCAGGCAUGUAUCCGCCUGGAGACUGUCUGGAGUCUGUCUGAAAUUGAUAAAUUUGAAGAUGGGAGUUUUUUAGCAUGUCUCUGCUGGUUCGCGAGAAAGCUGCCCGCUGAAAAUGGGAAUUCUUGCUCUCCUCCCCAGACGCCUUCGCGCACGAGUCGCCACGCUCAGCCAGAAAUAUAUAUAUUUAUAUAUUUUUCUCAGAUAAAUGCUGUGAAAGUUUUUUUUCUCCUGCAGUCUAUCAGCAAACAGCUCUUUAUGCACAGGCAGGGGACCAGACCCUCAGCCCCAGGAGUUCAAGAAGAGUCCACCAUCCAGAAGGCAGCAAGCACCAGUACAAAAAAGGCCUGUUCCAGUGUCUGACAAAAAUGAUCGGAAUUACAAUUACAAAGGAGAUCCAUGAUUUCUUGCAGCCUGUCAUGUCCUCAGCGUCCUUGACGCCCAAAUG